rnacentral:sRNA from 1 species
AGGAAUAGGGUUUCUCAUUAGGGAUUCAUAUGGUUUAGUAUAUUGCCCCCUUGCUAGGUUAUCUGUAGAAUUCUUCAUCUUUAAUUAUGAUUAAUGUUAGAUGAAC